rnacentral:rRNA from 1 species
GAUGAACGCUGGCGGCAUGCCUAAUACAUGCAAGUCGAACGAGAGGAAGGAAAGCUUGCUUUUCUGAAUCUAGUGGCGAACGGGUGAGUAACACGUAGGUAACCUGCCCAUGUGCCCGGGAUAACUUCUGGAAACGGAUGCUAAAACCGGAUAGGUAGCAGACAAGCAUUUGACUGCUAUUAAAGUGGCUAAGGCCAUGAACAUGGAUGGACCUGCGGUGCAUUAGCUAGUUGGUGAGGUAACGGCCCACCAAGGCGACGAUGCAUAGCCGGCCUAGGAGGGCGGACGGCCACAUUGGGACGGAGACACGGCCCAAACUCAGACGGGAGUCAGCAGUAGGGAAUUUUCGUCAAUGGGGGGAACCCUGAACGAGCAAUGCCGCGUGAGUGGGGAAGGUCUUCGGAUCGUAAAGCUCUGUUGUAAGAGAAAAACGACAUUCAUAGGGAAUGAUGAGUGAGUGAUGGUAUCUUACCAGAAAGUCACGGCUAACUACGUGCCAGCAGCCGCGGUAA